CCUACGGGCGGCAGCAGUGAGGAAUAUUGGUCAAUGGACGCAAGCCUGAACCAGCCAUGCCGCGUGCAGGAAGAAGGCUCUAUGAGUCGUAAACCGCUUUUGUCCGAGGGCAAACGCAGAUACGCGUACCUGUCUGAAAGUACCGUACGAAUAAGGAUCGGCUACCUCCGUGCCAGCCGCCGCGGGAAUACGGAGGAUUCAAGCGUUCACCGGAUUUACUGGGGUUAAAGGGGGCGGCGGCGGCCGGGUCAGUUAGGGGGGAAAUCCCGGGGCCCAACUUCGGGCUUGCCGCUGAUCCUGGUCGGCUAGAGAGUGGGAGAGGUAGGCGGAAUGUGUGGUGUAGCGGUGAAAUGCUUAGAUAUCACGCAGAACCCCGAUUGCGAAGGCAGCUUACCGGCCUACUACUGACGUGGAGGCACGAAAGCGUGGGGAUCGAACAGGAUUAGAUACCCGUGUAGUC
rnacentral:rRNA from 1 species